rnacentral:rRNA from 1 species
UAGGGAAUCUUCGGCAAUGGACGAAAGUCUGACCGAGCAACGCCGCGUGAGUGAAGAAGGUUUUCGGAUCGUAAAACUCUGUUGUUAGAGAAGAACAAGGACGUUAGUAACUGAACGUCCCCUGACGGUAUCUAACCAGAAAGCCACGGCUAACUACGUGCCAGCAGCCGCGGUAAUACGUAGGUGGCAAGCGUUGUCCGGAUUUAUUGGGCGUAAAGCGAGCGCAGGCGGUUUCUUAAGUCUGAUGUGAAAGCCCCCGGCUCAACCGGGGAGGGUCAUUGGAAGCUGGGAGACUUGAGUGCAGAAGAGGAGAGUGGAAUUCCAUGUGGAGCGGUGAAAUGCGUAGAUAUAUGGAGGAACACCAGUGGCGAAGGCGGCUCUCUGGUCUGUAACUGACGCUGAGGCUCGAAAGCGUGGGGAGCAAACAGG